UGAAAUCUCUCAGUGGGGGGGCCAAGUUAACGGACCCGCGUCACUUUUGAACCUUCUUAAUGCCUUCUUCAGCCCUUUUUCGCACAUCGCUCGAUUCUUCUCGGCACUUUUUUGGGGGUUUCUUCAAACCUUCUCGGCCACACUUCCGAUCCUUCGUUACGUCCCUUUUCUAGACGUUUCCUUCGAACCUUCUUCGAGCUUUCUCCACGCUUCCUUUGAACAUUUUUAAUGCGUGUUCUUUAAGCUUUCUCUACUUUUUCGAAUCUUCUCCGCCGUUCCUUCACGUUUUCUCAAUUUACGUCGAAAGGAGGGGUGAAUGACGGAGACGAGUUUUUCUGAUUUUCUGCAGGUGUGGGUGUGCACGAAUUCAUUUCUGUCGGUUCAUUAUUCAUUUACUGAACUUAACACUCUUGGAAUAUGAUUGGUAUAUACCAGAUGGUUGUCAUGGCGUAUUUUUUUCUGGGGAGUUGGCAAAGAAAGGAGAGGGAUAUUCACAAAUGCCGCAUUGUUCACUUAGAUACGUUUUUUAUAUAAAAAUAUAGAGAUGCUGUUUUUCACAGUCUUCUCGAAAAAAAGAUAUUUGGCUCGGAACUCACUUAUUAUAUGCCUACAAAAAACUUGGACUCGAGUUCAAAAAGUUGUCUUUCUCGUAAAUAGAACAACAAUAAUACGAAUUGUACUGUAUGUGCCGAAAUGUAUGAGCAUAAAGAAGUAGUAUUCUGUAAUAAUUGAUCAAUAGAUGUCGCGUUGAUUAUUACGUGUACUAAUUUUUAACAGAUAUACAUGGCAAGUCAAAAAGAGAGCAGUGCGCACGCCUAGUGGCGAAAAUCAAUAGCCCAGUAUCGUGACGUCACGAUGUACAACAAUCACCAUUGGUAGCCUCUUAACUCAUCUUAUUAUUUAUUAAAGCUGCAUGAAUGGGUAAUUGCAAACUGUGAUAUUUGGCCGACGAAGGCAAAGACAAUCGCGGUAUUAUCGAAAGCUGCAGCGACGCGCGAUUCAGGUGCGGGUGUCUCCGGCUUUCAGUUUACGUGCGUAAGAUAACGCGAACGGAUCCGCCUGCGAAGCAGUUCCGCAUGUUCGAUUCCUGCCUAAUCUCAGCAAGAUGGACAGUUUGAUAACGUUUCGCGUACAACUCCGGCUGUCCAUCGCGGGGUAGUUGGAUUGUGAUGGUUAGCGGGGGGUAGCAUGGAGGAAGGGCCGGAUCUCUCGCACCUCACUCCUGAGGAACGGGCCAUCAUCGAGUCCGUUAUGUUACGGCAGAAGCAGGAGGAGGAGCGCGAGCAAGAGAUCAUGAGGCGUAAGGCGACCGAGGUACAGCUUUUGGAGGAUACGAUACGGGCUCGUAGCGAACAACAUAAGAAAGCGGGAAUAGAAUUAGAUGCAACUUGCCAAAUAUGCCUUAAGACCAAAUUCGCGGAUGGUGUAGGACACCUUUGUAACUAUUGUAAUAUAAGAUGUUGUGCGAGAUGCGGCGGUAAAGUGACUCUUAGAUCAAACAAGGUGGUCUGGGUGUGCAUAUUGUGCCGGAAAAAGCAGGAAUUGUUGGGAAAAACGGGACAGUGGAUGUUAGGCGGUACGACGGAAACCGAACAUCUUCUACAGCAACAUCAUCAGCAAGCGCCUUCAGAUAAACGACCGAAAUUAGAACGUGCACAUUCCGCCGCCGAAAAAGAAAAUCAGCCCCUUCAGCGAUCCGGCUGUCCCCUGAGGCGCCAGUAUUCCGAGCAGGACUCGAACAGAGGGCCGUCCUGUGAGAGAUACCAACAGGCUUACAAUGAAGACGAUCCGAGGUAUUACCAAGGCGAACUCGAAGGCUUGAUGCGACAACAUCCACAUCUGGUUCCUAGAAGAUAUCCCGAUUCAAACGAGCCAGAGACGUCGCCAAUGGACAUACCCCAACAAAGGUUGCCUUCGACGACGAACACGAACAAAAAGCAUAAAAGAAGCGGCUCGACGAAGAAACAUCAACCUCCUCCGCCUCAGCCUCAAAUUCAGCGGUCCUUCUCUAGUUCGGAAGACGAUUUGAGAUCGACGCCCGAGUGUGGAAGCGACGAGCGGGAUAGUGAGAAAGGGGACAAUGGAGAUUGGGCGCCAUUGAGCCACUACAUUGUGGCCCCACAGCAUCGCCCGCUCCAAGACGUUACUGCCGACAAUCGAUGCUUUACCGAAAGAAGAAAGAAGACUGUCAGAUUUGAUCAACACGAAAAUUGGGAUAGGCAAGGUUCGCAAGACUCGCAUCGCGAUUCUGGAAUUGACACUUCUUCUACUUUUACUUCCAGCGAAGACUCGACGCGAGGGGACGGGCCAAAGCACCCGUUAUCCUGGCAAGUGUCGGCCGACGGUACCAGAAUGAUAGGGCACAUGAUACUGAGGAGGGGGACGCGCGAGGCGACCGGUUCGAGCGCCGCUAUACUCGGAUUGAAAAUAAUCGGCGGUAAAAUGCUAGAAAAUAAUCAGAAAGGGGCGGUUAUUGAGAAAGUGAAAAAAGGAAGUAUCGCCGACAUUGAAGGGCAGCUCAGAGCAGGCGACGAAGUGAUCGAAUGGAACGGCAGAUUACUGCAGGGCAAGUCCUAUCAGGAAGUCUCGGAUAUAAUCGCCGAAAGUAAGCACGAGGCUAACGUCGAACUGAUCGUAUCUCGUAGCAUGUGCAGUCGGAGAGCAGCACAGGCCACCUGGAGGCAAUCGGUCGCCCACAGAGGUCAGGGAGGAAUGCAAUGGACCAGCAGGGAGGCGUACGAGCGACCGCACGUUCUCGUGACGUCACCGGGGAGCCCCGAGAGACCUCGCGCCGUACCCCCGAUAGCUCCCAGUGUCGGCGGACGCAUACAACUGAGAUUAACCUUUGAACCGGCAACGCUUCAACUACUGGUCACGAUUGUAUGUGCCGCCGGUCUUAUCCCUCGCUCACCUCACCAACCGAGAAAUCCCUACUGUAAGCUUUUUCUUCUGCCCGAUAGAUCGGAGAAGUCGAAACGACGAACCCGAACACUUGGAGGUACGACCGACCCGAUGUGGAAUCAAACCUUUGUGUACUCGGGCUUGCGACGUACCGAUCUACGAUUGCGAGCUUUAGAAAUAACGGUGUGGGAUUACGUUCGGUACGGCGCAAACGAUUUUCUGGGCGAAGCCGUGAUCGAGCUGUGGCCUCUCGACGAGCAGCCCAUGUGGAGAACCCUGGGACCUCACGAAGACGUCGCGUUAACGCCCAGCGAACAUUUGUCGCCUCCGAGUACCGGCUCUCGGUUUUCCGAUUCCGAUACGCCUUCCGAAUGCGAAAUCGACGGCGGAAGGGAACGAAGGGGCGCGGACGGCGCUAGCGUAAGUAGCGUUGGAAGUUCAACUAGUCCCCCUAGAGAAUCUGAUAGGAGAUCUAGAAGGGACCAAGAGCCGGCCCAGCAAUACGGUAGCUCUAGGAGGAGUGGAAUGCCUGGGCAAAGAUCUCAUUCGGCGGCACCCUGCGAAUCACCUAGUGUUCAUAUGUCCCGCUCCCGUUCGAAAUCGCCUAGAAGAUCGGCGACCGACCACAGGUCACUUUCACCGCCCGACGGCCGUAUUCUGGAUUACCAGACGUCCUAUUCCGCCCCGAGGUUUCAAUCGCGCUCCGCCACAGCGACGCCGACGGGUUCGCCAAAGAAAAGGCAACUUCCGCAAGUGCCUCAUGCUUUGGCCAGAGCGUUGCAGGAGAGAGUUGCGCAAGACUUGGAGGAAAGGGCGAAUCGGCAACGAAUACGAAACAUACACACGUAUAGGAGUAGUGGAUACGGAUGGGAGAGAAGAUAUAGUGGUCUUAGUGAUAGUGAUUUAGCUAACCAUUCACGUAUUAGAAGACCGAUGUCUCCCGAGCGAGAUAGGGACCCUUUAGGACUUGUUGACUUUGAUAGUGAUAUGGAAUCAGUUGCUUCCGUUACUAGUAGUGCUUUUUCAACACAAUCCGAACGCCCACGUGGUACUAAAAUGCCAAGUGCGGAGUUCAGCGGAUCCGGCGAGCGUUACGUAUACUCAAGACAUCGAGAAGUGCCAACCAAAGGUUCAAGGGAUCACCAAGAGGCAGACUUGCGAGGUCCGUUGGAACAUCACCAUCACCACCACCGUCACCAUCACCAUCGAGAGGGCAGCGUCAAGCGUGGCCAAUUCACUCGAAGCCUCUCCAACUCCGAUCCCCCCGUGGACGAAAAGACUGAUGGUAGUUUAAGUGAUACGGCAGUAGGUCAAAUACAUGGGUUAGAAGUUCCUCAAAAAGAAACGAUAAGGAAAGAGGGCCAUCGGGAGAGAGAUCGCGAUCGUUCCGGUCAGUUCAUGGGUUUGAGCAAAAAGAGCAAUUCGACCAGUCAGUUAUCCGCCACAGGUCGAAAGAGGCGGAUGGGUUUCGGUCGAAGGGGGAAAACUUCGUUUACGGUACAUCGUUCUGAGGAAGUCUUGCCGGGAGAUGUUAGACUUUCGAAGCAGGGCUCGUCGGCGUCGAGUGACGGAGAGGGAUCGGUUGACGGUGACAGGUGGUCGCCGUCUUUAAGAGUCGCAGGUGAGAGCGGGCAGCUUGCCGAUUUCAUUGAUGGACUGGGACCAGGACAGCUUGUGGGUCGCCAGGUGCUUGGCGCGCCCGCUUUGGGAGAUAUACAAUUGUCAUUGUGCUACCAAAAGGGAUUCCUGGAAGUGGAAGUAAUCAGAGCGAGGGGCCUACAAGCGAGGCCGGGUUCGAAAGUUUUACCAGCGCCUUAUGUGAAAGUAUAUUUGGUAAAUGGAAAAAAAUGUAUAGCGAAAGCAAAAACUUCGUCAGCACGUAGAACUUUGGAUCCAUUAUACCAACAACAACUAGCAUUUAGAGAACAAUUUCAAGGCUGUGUUCUUCAGGUUACCGUUUGGGGAGACUACGGUCGCAUCGAAGGCAAGAAAGUGUUUAUGGGUGUUGCCCAAAUAAUGUUGGACGAUUUAAAUCUCAGUAAUAUUGUAAUAGGAUGGUACAAACUGUUUGGAACGACGUCCCUGGUUAGUGGGCCUCCCUCCCUCGGUCUAUCUCGCCGCAGUUCCAUGGCUAGUCUAGAUUCCCUCAAAUUGUAACCUUAUCACUUUCACAUGCGAUUCAUAUUAGUUUCGUUUCAGUGUGUAAGAUAGUAGUACGCGUAAUGUUCCAUCCCGUACUAAAGUAAUGUAUUUCUAUCUUGCACAUAACAUUCAUAUUAGAUUUCGUCACAAUCUUGUAGACAGCGUAUAGACGCCGACCGUCGGCUCACCAGUUACGUAGUGAACUAAGAUACGAUGGCGAAGAAAAGUAGUCCGUCAGUACCAACCCGUCAUCAUGUUACUAUUAUUGCAUAAACUUUUUGCCGGGAUAUUUGCGAAUACGUCUUUAAAUACUGUAAGAUAUACCUAAGACUAUAUCCUUUUGAAUUACUUUUGUUCUAUUUAAAAGACAUAUUCGAAAUGUUCGGAGCAAAAGAAGAUAACUUAUAAUUGGCAGAUGGUAUUAUUUUAUAUAAUACUAUUCGACAGCAUGGUGCAAACUAAUAUAAAAAUAUAUAAUAGUUGAUAAUAGGAAUCAAUACUAGAUACAACAGAAUAAUUAAAUGAAAUGAACAUGUAGAUAUCACUGCGCACAUGUAAACAUAAUUUCACAUAAAAUCAUAUCCCGUAAUGUGUAAUAUAACUAUAUAUUUACGGGGAAACUUGAAACCGAAUUGUCAGACAACGACAAGUGAUAGUAAAGGAAAAAGUACUUUUAAGUUUUCCCGUAUAUAAUGCUUUAUUGGAAUUGAAACUGCUUUUUUACUUACGUAAUACUAAAAAAAAGGACUUAGAAAAAAACGUUGAUAAGUAAUGUAUUAUAUCGUAAUGUAUAAUAGAAAAAUAUAUAAUGAUCGUUUAUUGUAACAUAUAAUUUUAUCUUAAUUGUUAAAUUGCAUGUGAUAAUCAUUUUUACGUUAAUCGUUAAUCCUCAACAAUUGUUCCGGUUCUGUUUAUGUACCUACCUACUACCUUAGGUGUCAUCACAUAUUUGUCAUUUCUAUUCGCGCCAUCUGUUGGAAUUAUGUAUUGGUUUGAAUUUUCCUUUAAGUACAUCGGUGUCAUUUCAGAGAAAAGGCGCACCUUGUGUGACUUUCCUACCCUUUAUUGGGUUGCGUAAAUAAUUUUGUACCCAUCUUGUAUAUACGAUCUGCUGUUAAAGUUUAGUAGUUCAGUUUUCUAUUUUAAAUUUGUACGAUAUAUAAAAAAAUAUUCCAUGCUUGUGAUGAAAUUCUCUUAUAAUAACAUAAUUCCUACUAAAUAGCCCUGUUAUGUGUACCAUAUUAUUUUAAAGUGCUUGUAAGAGAAUGUAAUACACUUAUUGCAGUUCAGUAAUUUGUUAUCCCAAACGGUUGUGUUCAUUAUUCAGUUUCGAUCGAGAAGUCGAGAGAGAACGGUUCAAUUUCUUAUUUUUACUGAGCUGUUUGAGUGUAAAGGCUGUAUGACAACUGCAUAUCAUGGAGGUGUCGUGGAAUCGUCCACUUGUAUGUCCGUCUGACACGUUCACUAUGACUGAUGUAUCCAUUAUCCAAGCCCGCGGGCAUGACAAUAAAUGAUUGAUGAAAAAUA